rnacentral:rRNA from 1 species
GUGGCGAACGGGGGAAUAACACGUGGGUGACCUGCCCCGCAUUUCGGGAUAAGCUUGGGGAAACUGGGUCUAAUACCGGAUAGGACCGCACCGUGAGGGUGUGGUGGAAAGUUUUUCGGUGUGGGAUGGGCCCGCGGCCUAUCAGCUUGUUGGGGGGGUAAUGGCCUACCAAGGCGGCGACGGGUAGCCGGCCUGAGAGGGUGGACGGCCACAUUGGGACUGAGACACGGUCCAGACUCCUACGGGAGGCAGCAGUGGGGAAUAUUGCACAAUGGAGGAAACUCUGAUGCAGCGACGCCGCGUGAGCGAAGAAGGCCUUCGGGUUGUAAAGCUCUGUCCUUGGUGAAGAUAAUGACGGUAGCCAAGGAAGAAGCCCCGGCUAACUACGUGCCAGCAGCCGCGGUAAUACGUAGGGGGCGAGCGUUGUCCGGAAUUAUUGGGCGUAAAGGGUUCGUAGGCGGUAAUACAUGUCAGAUGUGAAAUCUUGUGGCUUAACCACAUCAAGCAUCUGAAACUGUAUAACUUGAGUGGAGGAGAGGUAAGUGGAAUUCCUAGUGUAGCGGUGAAAUGCGUAGAUAUUAGGAAGAAUACCAGUAGCGAAGGCGACUUACUGGCCUCUAACUGACGCUGAUGAACGAAAGCGUGGGUAGCAAACAGGAUUAGAUACCCUGGUAGUCCACGCUGUAAACGAUGAAUGCUAGGUGUCGGGAGUCGAAUCUCGGUGCCGCAGUUAAC